CUCCUCUCAGGUUCGCAUCUGGAGAAGCGAAGUAGGUUUCCACUACUCUACCAGUCUCGGCUACAGGAGGGAGAGUCAAGCAGAGGUCUGUCCAUUCCAUUCCUAGCUUGGCCAGUGACUAGCGAGUGGAAGGCAAUCUGCUACAAGU
rnacentral:snoRNA from 1 species